GAUGAAGAACGUAGCGAAAUGCGAUAAGUAGUGUGAAUUGCAGAAUUAAGUGAAUCAUCGAAUCUUUGAACGCACAUUGCGCCCCUCGGUAUUCCGUGGGGCAUGCCUGUUCGAGCGUCAUUUAACCCCUCAAGCCUAGCUUGGUAUUGGGUGCUUGUCCCGCCUCUCGCGCGGCGACUCACCUCAAAGUCAUUGGCAGCCCGCAUCUCGCCGGCCGUGAGCGCAGCACAGACGCGCUCUUGGCAACGACGGAUCGGCUCUCCAAAAGCUUAUUUCAACCACUGACCUCGGAUCAGGUAGGGAUACCCGCUGAACUUAAGCAUAUCAAUAAGCGGAGGA
rnacentral:misc_RNA from 1 species